GACAAGCUUCUCAUCUCCAGAGAUUAUGGACACUAAACUAGAGAGCUACAAGGGAAUUGGCGACUCAAACUGUGCUCUCUCUCUUCUGUCAAAUCCACAUCAACCACAUGACAACAACAACAACAACAACAACAACAACAACAACAACAACAAUACAUGGCG
rnacentral:sRNA from 1 species